GCGGGCCCGGCGCGGCGCGCGCGGCGGCUGCAGGGGGACGUGAGGCCCGUGAGGUCGAUGCCGGGGAUGCGAGGGGCUCACAGCAUCAGCCGGCUCCCGGCUUGUCUGGAUGCUCUGAUUAGCAAGACCUACUGGGAUAAGAGACUGGAAGAGAGAGGAAGAAUGACAAAUCAG